rnacentral:rRNA from 1 species
CAGCACCUCAAGUGGUCAGGAUGAUUAUUGGGCCUAAAGCAUCCGUAGCCGGCGCUGUAAGUUGUCGGUUAAAUCUGUACGCUCAACGUACAGGCUGCCGGGAAUACUGCAGCGCUAGGGAGUGGGAGAGGUAGACGGUACUCGGUAGGAAGGGGUAAAAUCCUUUGAUCUAUUGAUGACCACCUGUGGCGAAGGCGGUCUACCAGAACACGUCCGACGGUGAGGGAUGAAAGCUGGGGGAGCAAACCGGAUUAGAGACCCGAGUAGUCC